rnacentral:rRNA from 1 species
UACGUAGGGUGCAAGCGUUGUCCGGAAUUAUUGGGCGUAAAGAGCUCGUAGGCGGUUUGUCGCGUCUGCUGUGAAAACUCGGGGCUUAACUCCGGGCCUGCAGUGGGUACGGGCAGACUAGAGUGCGGUAGGGGGAGACUGGAAUUCCUGGUGUAGCGGUGAAAUGCGCAGAUAUCAGGAGGAACACCGGUGGCGAAGGCGGGUCUCUGGGCCGUUACUGACACUGAGGCGCGAAAGCGUGGGGGAGCGAACAGG